rnacentral:tRNA from 1 species
GCUCCCGUAGUGUAGUGGCCAAUCAUCCAAGCCUCUCGAGUUUGGGACUCGGGUUCAAAUCCCGACGGGAGCA